ACUGACUGGGUUUGAAGGUGUGAUGCGUCUGGUCGGCAGCAUUACGAAACCAGAGACAGACAACACAAUCUAGAAAGAUGCUUUGGUCUGAGGGUUCGAUUCCCGCUGCCAUCGCCUCCGCUAAGCAACAGAACUUCGUCUUUGUCGUUGUCAUUACAGGCGAAGAUGAGCAGUCUGCACAGCUGAUGUCCAGCUGGGAGGACGAAAAAGUCUCUGAAGCAGCACAGACAUGUUGUGUGGCGAUCAAAGUGGAUGCCAAGAGCGAGACAUGUGUUCAGUUCUCCCAGAUCUACCCAGUAGUGUGCAUUCCAUCCAGUUUUUUCAUUGGAGGGGAUGGAACUCCCCUUGAGGUCAUUGCCGGAAGCAUGUCUGCUGAGGAACUCACGAAAAGAAUCAGCAAAGUGAAACAGAUGCAAGCUGAGCAGGUUCGUGGCAGGAUCAUAGUAUCACCAGAACCAGAAGCUCCAGCGGCGGCCAACCCGUCUGUCAGCAUACCCACAGAGCCAGCCCUGGGCACAACAGUGCUGCCCGCCUCUAACCCCGAGCCCACUCUGGCACUACCAGCAACCACAGAAGCUGCCCCAGUACCAGGCACAUCAAAAGAAUCCCUCUCCAGACCACUAGAUGAAAGUGGCCUUUUGGGGACUGAGAGCCCUGGGAAGGACAGAAGUGCAUCAUCAGAUGACACCUUUCAUAGUUCUCACCCUGAUGAAACCCUGGAUGCCAAGGUGGACAGGUGAAGACAUGUAGACAUUCACAAACUGACUAAAAGACACGGAGGACAUGCAGGCGGCUGGUGUGAAAGAGGAAACUGCAGAGGACAGGAAGAGAUGGAAACGGAUGAUCCUCUGUGGUGAACCCUAACGGGAGCAGCCGAAGGAGCAGUGGGCAGCUGCAGCGUCCGGGGACCAACUCCAGAUCUUUUUUUGAUAGCCUUUGUCAGGGGCACAGACAGGAGUAUUAACCCUAACAUGCAUGACUUUUUGAUGGUGGGAGGAAACCGGAGUACCCGGAGGAAACCCAUACAGACACAGGGAGAACAUGCAAACUCCACACGGAAAGGACCUUGGACGGCCUGGGGUUCAAACCCAGGACCUUCUUGCUGUGAGGCAACAGUGCUAACCAAUUGGCCACAGUGCAGCACAAUAUAAUAUUGAUAUUGUGAUAUCAGCAAGCUAUUGUCUGGGAUUUUGAUUUUAAUAAUACUGAGAUGUACCUUAAAUGUUGUUCUUCCAGGGUCUUAAAGGCUGCAUUACAGUAAAAUGAUACAAUUUUCUGAACUUAUAGGACGGUUUUAGCAGAGUGAAAUAAACAGUGAAU